rnacentral:tRNA from 1 species
GUUUUCGUGGCCUAGCGGUUAGGGCGUCUGUCUUACAUUAUGGUUACUGAAUUACAAUCAAUCGGUACCUAUUGAUCACAGAAGAUCCCCGGUUCAAUCCCGGGCGGAAACA